rnacentral:rRNA from 1 species
AACGAACGCUGGCGGCGUGGCUAAGGCAUGCAAGUCGAACGGACCAUUUAUAUGGGUAACCAAAUGGAUGGUUAGUGGCGAACGGGUGAGUAAUGCAUAGGUAACGUACCCUUAACUUUGGGAUAGCCGGGGGAAACCCCGGAUAAUACCGGAUAAUGUCCAGGAGUCGCAUGGCUAUUGGACCGAAGGCUUCGGCUGGUUUUGGAGCGGCCUAUGUCGUAUCAGCUUGUUGGUGAGGUAACGGCUCACCAAGGCAUCGACGCGUAGCGGGACUGAGAGGUUGUUCCGCCACAUCGGGACUGAGACACUGCCCGGACCCCCACGGGGGGCUGCAGCAACGAAUCUUGCGCAAUGGACGAAAGUCUGACGCAGCGAUGCCGCGUGUAGGACGAAGCCCCUCGGGGUGUAAACUACUGUCAGGGUGAAGAAAGAU